AUUGAACGCUGGCGGCAGGCCUAACACAUGCAAGUCGAGCGGAUGAAGAGAGCUUGCUCUCUGAUUUAGCGGCGGACGGGUGAGUAAUGCCUAGGAAUCUGCCUGGUAGUGGGGGAUAACGUUCCGAAAGGAACGCUAAUACCGCAUACGUCCUACGGGAGAAAGCAGGGGACCUUCGGGCCUUGCGCUAUCAGAUGAGCCUAGGUCGGAUUAGCUAGUUGGUGAGGUAAUGGCUCACCAAGGCUACGAUCCGUAACUGGUCUGAGAGGAUGAUCAGGCGCGCUGGAACUGAGACACGAUCCAGACUCCUACGGGAGGCAGCAGUGGGGAAUAUUGGACAAUGGGCGAAAGCCUGAUCCAGCCAUGCCGCGUGUGUGAAGAAGGUCUUCGGAUUGUAAAGCACUUUAAGUUGGGAGGAAGGGCAGUAAGUUAAUACCUUGCUGUUUUGACGUUACCGACAGAAUAAGCACCGGCUAACUUCGUGCCAGCAGCCGCGGUAAGAC
rnacentral:rRNA from 1 species